UCGCUCAGGUCCUUCCUCAGUUGACCGCACCAAUCUUUCGCCUUUUACUAAAGAUUGCCGUGGGGAAGGACAUCCUAAUGAGCCUCUAGGCCAAUUUUUGGGAGGCCUUGCUCGUUUGGGCG
rnacentral:snRNA from 1 species